rnacentral:rRNA from 1 species
GACGAACGCUGGCGGCGUGCUUAACACAUGCAAGUCGAACGGUGAAGCGCCUUCCUUUUUGGUGGGUGUGGAUGAGUGGCGAACGGGUGAGUAACACGUGAGUAACCUGCCCCCUUCUUCUGGAUAACCGCAUGAAAGUGUGGCUAAUACGGGAUAUUCUGGGUCUGUCGCAUGAUGGGUCUGGGAAAGAUAUUGUUUCGGUGGGGGAUGGGCUCGCGGCCUAUCAGCUUGUUGGUGGGGUGAUGGCCUACCAAGGCGGUGACGGGUAGCCGGCCUGAGAGGGUGGACGGUCACACUGGGACUGAGCCACGGACAAGACUCCUACGGGAGGCAGCAGUGAGGAAUAUUGCACAAUGGGAGCAAGCCUGAUGCAGCGACGCCGCGUGAGGGAUGGAGGCCUUCGGGUUGUGAACCUCUUUCGCCAGUGAAGCAGGCCUGCCUCGUUUGUGGGUGGGUUGACGGUAGCUGGAUAAGAAGCGCCGGCUAACUACGUG